CAACACCUGAAUAGUGGCCCUGCAUCUAAUAUCAUUUCCAACCAAGUUACAUUUAUUAUUUACUCGCUUGUUACUAUUGCUAUUUCAUUUAAACAUUUGCAACCUUUAGAAUUAAUAAACACUAGAUUUAAUUGUUCCCUAGCUCCUUGUGGAAUCGAUCCCUAAGUACUACAUCUGAACCUCUUUUGAUGAGAGUAACACUCCUUAGGGUAAUUUGAGCGGUAUCAAGUUUUAUAUUGGUCAUGAUGAUGUGCAGUCUAUCUUAUUCAUCUUCUUUUCGAUUUUUCUUUACAUUUUUUUUGGCAAAGUGUAAUCGAAUAGUGGGGUCAUCAGUAAUGUACCUACCCCUCGCUUCCAAUGAUGUGUGAUCAUUCCAUUAGAGAAGAAUAAUUGGAUCGCAUGAGACACUCCUACCCCUCUAAACCGCAGGAAAUCAUUUCAAUCCUUUUUCUUCUUUUUUAUUUAUUUCUGGAUGCCGAAGAGAGGAGAGAAAGAAACCAAAAAUUUACAGACUUAUGCCUUUCAGACCUGAAAGAGGAAUCCAAUCCAAUGUAUACCAAGCCCCAAGACAAGCAAAUUGAAUUGAUUUAGGUUGGAAGUCAGCUUCGGUUCCUUCAGACUCUCUCAGCUAGCGUGGAUGUUAUUGGCAGGUGAUCCACUUUGGCGUUUCUAUUCAGUACACCCAGUAUUCAAUAACCUCAAAGAAUGGUGCUAGAGAGCGGUUAGAUAGUAAGUAAAAUUGUAUUUGAUCAUAAUCCGCUUCUUGACUCGAAAUUUUUUUUUUUUGAAAACAUUUGAUAAGACUUAAUCCGGUCAGGUAUAUCGUUCUAACUUAUUUUUAGUCAUUAGCUUGAAUUUUGGAUAUCUGAUUUAGUCUGGAUGAGGAUGUGAACUUGCUCUAGAACAAGUCUCAGUGUCUCUCUUUCUCAUCUUGUUGAUGCAGUUGAUAAAAGCUCUUGCAGAAACUUCCCCUUUGUCUCUCAGCCCUGGAUCACGUAGCACUCUGACCUUGGGAAAGGAUUCAGAACCUCCUCUGCAGCGCACUCUAUACGCAAGACUUGCCUCUUGACAUUGCAAAGGGACUAGUGACAGGAAAUCAGCAUCUACAUUCUUUUUCUUUUUCUUCUUUCUAUUCCUGGUCCUUCCCCUAGACUUAGACUUUUAAGUCUAGGUUGUUCUGAAAUUCAGAGGGUAUCGACCGAUGUGGAAGACUUCGUGUUGAUCGAAUCUAAGGACUAAGAGUCGUCCGAUGAUGAAGGUUGAUUGUCGAUCGAUUCUGAGGACUGGAAGUCGACCGAUGCUGCAAUUCUAAUGUCGACUGACGCUUUUGGUAUUGCAGGCUCGCAAUUUGAAUCAGAUGUAGGUCAUGGAUCUUCAAAUAUCUCUAUGCAUGAAAUAAGCUCCUCACUUUUCUUCUUCUCCAUGGGAUCAUAGAAGACAGUUUCAUCAACAUUAGUCAGACACAUCUUAUUUCUCUUAAGAGCACAAACUGCCCCCCACUGUAGCCAUGAAAGCUCGUCCAAAAGAAGUGGAGAUGUCUUGCCUGAUUUGAUAUCCACAUCAUGAAAGUCCACAUGGAUAAUGCAUUCCCCUAUAUCCACCUUAACAUUCUUGAUCAUGCCUGCUGAUUUUGCUUGGGAGUGAUCCACGAAAGUGAAACUAUCUUUAGAAGGUCCCAUCUUUAGACCGAAUAGCUCAACAGUGUCUAUGUACAUGAUGUUGAAUGCAGAUCCAGUAUUGCAGAGAGCUUUUGGUAAAUGGCAACUAUGUAUAGAGCAUGGAAUCAGGAACUUUCCAGGAUCUUGUUCCUUCUUCAGUGUCCUCUUGGGUUUACGGCUGACCUUGUUGAAUAGGAGCUUAAUGUCCUUAUCAGUCUCUCUGACCAAGUCUAUAAUUAUGAUAUACAUCCUCAAAAGACAUAACCUUAGGAACCCUCUUCACCCUCUUGUGAAAUUCUUCAAGUUCCUCUUUGUUAACUUCUCGCCUUAGGUGUUUGGGAAUAUAUGGUUUCCUAGAUUUCACUCUCUUCUCAACUGGAAUUUCUUCUUUCGUUGCCUGCCUUUCCAUGGUAGGUUCAAAUAUGUCUGUUUGGUGUCGAUCGAUAUCUGGUAGAUGUUGUCGAUCAACACUCUUAACAAAAAAGGUUUCAGCUAGGGUUGAUUGCUCUUGCUAUGGUGCUUCUGCAGAUUGCUGACUUAUCUUCUCUGUUGUCUUCAAGCAAACUGAUGUCUGAGAUGGAUUUCGAGAGUCCUUCAAGCAGUGUGCAUCAAAAUCUGGUAAACGUACACGGUAUGAUAUUGGCGGUUGUUGAUCGCUGCACUUCUGUUGUUCUCGAUCGAUUCCAUUAUAUUGUUGUCGAUCGAUGUUGUCCCUUUUAACUCGAGCUAGGUUCGGAGGAUGUGGGUGUCGAGCAGCAAAAUCUAAGUGGCUUUGAAUUCGAACAGUUUUGUCUGAUCCCGAUCGGUGCUCAGAUGUUGACGUCGAUCGAUGCUCAGUUGUUGGUGUCGGUCGAUGCUCAGUUGUUGGUGUCGGUCGAUGCUCAAUUGUUGGUGUCAGUCGACACCAGUACGAGCUGUCUAUGGACAUGGAUCUUUCGACUAAUAAAACAUCUUCUUCCAGCUUCUCUUGCUCAAGCACUUCCCCAAAGUCAUCAUCUGAGAUGACAUUAAUCCUUUGACUAGAGCUUCUUGCUUCUUCACAGCUUCUGCAAUCUAAGAAACCUGGGCAUCUAGCAUCAUGACAUUGGCAUAUAAGGUUUCAAAUUUUCCAUUCAUCUCUUUGUAGAGAACAUCCAACCUCAGAUUUAAGUAUGCGCUCGUCUUCUGCUGAAUUUUUAGGAUCUUUUCCAUUAUUUGAAUAUGGUCAUGAUUCUCAUCCUUUUCUACAUUUUGUUCCACCAAUGAAACUUCAUGUACAGAACCAAUCUCAGCCUCAACGAUCUUGUCACUGUCUAUCGCAAUUGAUUUUAUCUUGUUCAUAUCCAGAUUGUUAAAACUGUUGCUAGACAUCAAGUUCUCAAUCAGUCGCUUAGCUUCCUAUGGGGUCCUUGUCUCGAAGUUUCCUUCGCGUGCAGUAUCCAGCAUUGUUAAGGUCAAAAUCGGUCACGACAGAAUCAAUGUCUGAAAGUCCGUAAAAAUCAGCAUGCACAUUUUUACGAAAAUUAAUCUUCGUAAAGAAAUCUUUACGAAGAGCCUUGCGUUAAAAUCUUGUUCAAAUUUCAAUCGAACCACUAAAUACCGAUUGUCCGAAGGCAACAGACAUGUAUCCAAAUUGGCCGCAGACAAGCUCAAGUAUGGCAAUCGGACCGCGGACAAGCCAAGCUCGAUCGAUAUACGGCGACCAAGCAUGCACACAGCUCGGUCGCUACGUAGCGACCGAGCUCGAGCCACAGCUCGGUCGCUACGUAGCGACAGAUCUCAAACAAAUCUCGGUCGCUACAUAGCGACCGAGCUCGACCCAAGCUCGAUCGCUACGUAGCGAGCGAGCAUGCGUACUGCUCGGUCGCUACAUAGCGACCGAGCACGCGCACGGCUCGGUCACUACGUACCGACCGAGCUCGGAACCAAGCUUGGUCACUACGUAGUGACCGAGCACAUGCACAUUUCGAUCGUUACGAAGAGAUCGAGCUUUGUCAAAACGUCGAUACAACACGAAUCCAUGCAUUCUCGUCUACUCUUUAAUGCUAUCUCCCAAAUAUUGUAGCUGAACCAUUUCAUGUUUCUCGUCACUCGAAGUCAUUGAUCAAACUUUACGAUAAAAACCGCGGAAAGUUCGUUUUUAUCGAAGAAACCGUAAUAAAAGUUUCGAGUCAAAAGAUGGCCGAAAGAGACCUAAGACGUGACUCGAAGCCCACUUACGAUUUCUUAACCAAAAAGCCCAUAAGCCUUAUGACGGUUUAUGCUUGGUUCGUAAGGAAAGAUAAAUGUCAAGUUUCCGCGGAUAAAUAUGAAGGUUUCGAAGAUAAUUACGAAGAUCGGGAAAAAUGAAAUAUCUCCAUUUUUAAGCUAUGACGGCUUAAGGGCAGAAGAGGAAAAGCGUAAACCGACCUAGGAGCGAGUAUAUAAGGAGUUCUAGGCGAGAGGCAAGAGGGAACUUUUUCACAGCAAACUUGCACUUAGAGCAGUUUAGGCAAUUUUCCAUUUUUUGUUAUUCGAGCUGCGACUCAAUUAGGUUUAGCCGACUUAGAGUUGCUAGAACUAGAAAUCUCGCCGACAGCUCUCGAGCCCAGGCUUAUACCUUGUUGUAACGCUCAAACGCAGAUUCGGAAUAAGAUCUACUUUGCUUUACUUUUACGAUUUUUAUACUUUAUCAUUGUUGUCUCGUGUUCUGAUUGCUUAGCGUGUGGUAUUAGUAGAUAUCCGGGACCUCUGGGAAAUUAAGGCUCUCCUACUUUCCUUAUUUAAACGGAAAUCGACAGUGCAAAUUUCGGUUCUCACAGUUUGGCGCUCGAAGGAGAGGGGGGGGUACGGAUCAAUCUAACUCUCAGCCACAAAACGCUUGAUCAAAACAAUGUCUGAAAAUACGAAAGACAAAAUCGCAGUUCGCAACAACGCUGGUAAGGCAACCCCAGCCACCACUGCGCCUAUGGCCAACGCUUACGCAAACGCCAUGGUCCCUAAAAAAAAAAAUUGAAAAAACCUAGCCGCGACUUUUCGCCAGGAAGUGCUACGAAACGAGCUUGCGAUUUCUCUGUCUAAACAUAAAGGAAAAUGAUAAAUUUUAUCAAAUCCCGUAAGUUUUGCUCAUUUUCGAGCUAAAGAAGUUUCAAUGCGUAAGGGUUUUAUCAAAACACGUUUUCCAAAAACUAUUCGGAAGGGAAAAACUUGUUCUCCCAAAAACCGCAGAACACCCCUAGGUUAAUCGCGGAAAAAGGAAGCACAGCAAAUUGAUUAUACAGCUCGGUCGCUACGUAGCUCGAUCAGUCGCUACGUAGUGACCCAGAACGCACACAGCUCAGUCGCUACGUAGCGACCGAGCACGCACACAGCUCGGUCGCUAUGUAGCGACCGAGAAAGCACACAGCUCGGUCGCUACGUAGCGACCGAGCUACCAACUUUCCACUCACUACAUAGCGACCUGUCAGGCCUCAGAAAGGUCCUCCUUUGGGUUCUCUUUUGAAUCCUCAUCGAAACGCUUUUCGUUUGGUCUCAAUCGGAGUUUCCGUUGAGAUUUUAAGACGAAAACAAAUAGGACUCUUCUUGGCUUGCUUCCACUCGCUACAGAGCGACCUGUCAGGCUUCAGAGAGGUCCUCCUUUGGGUUCUCUUUUGAAUCCAAAUCGACACGCUUUUCGUUUCGUCUCACUCGGAGUUUCUGUUGAGAUUUUACGAUGAAAGCAAGUAGGACUCUUCUUGGCUUGCUUCCACUCGCUACGUAGCGACCUGUCAGACCUUCACUCGCUACAUAGCGACCUGUUAGGCCUCAGAAAGUUCCUGCUUUGGGUUCUGUUUUGAAUCCUCAUCGAAAUGCUUUUCGUUUCGUCUCAAUCGGAGUUUUCGUUGAGAUUUUACGAGGAAAACAAGUAGGACUCUUCUUGGCUUGCUUCCACUCGCUACGUAGCGACCUGUCAAACCUUCACUCGCUAUAUAGCGACCUGUCAGGCCUCAGAAAGAUCCUCCUUUGGGUUCUGUUUUGAAUCCUCAUCGAAACGUUUUUCGUUUGGUCUCAAUCGGAGUUUCCGUUGAGAUUUUAAGACGAAAAAAGUAGGACUCUUCUUGGUCUGCUUCCACUCGCUACAAAGCGACCUGUCAGGCUUCAGAGAGGUCCUCCUUUGGGUUCUCUUUUGAAUCCUCAUCCAAACGCUUUUCGUUUCGUCUCAAUCGGAGUUCCCGUUGAGAUUUUACGACGAAAACAAGUAGGAUUCUUCUUGGCUUGCUUCCACUCGCUACGUAGUGACCUGUCAGACCUUCACUCGCUAUAUAGCGACCUGUCAGGCCUCGGAAAGGUCCUCCUUUAGGUUCUCUUUUGAAUCCCGAUCGAAACGCUUUUCGUUUCGUCUCAAUCGAAGUUUUCGUUGAGAUUUUACGAUGAAAACAAAUAAGACUCGUCUAAACUCCUAUGCUUGCCCCCACUCGCCCUUACCUCGAUCUUUGUGUUCUCCUUCAAAUCUCGAUCGAAACGUCUCUUGUUUCGCCUCGAUUGGAGUUACCAUUGAAACUUUAUGAUAAAAAAAAAACCACAAUGACUUGUUUUCUCGCAUGAAUUCAAAGUAAUUGUAUUAAACGGCAACAGUUAACUUAACACCUUAGCCGCCUUAACUUUACGAUUACGUUGAACCUUUUUAUAAAAAUUGACGUCCUAUCUAAGGAGAAGAUAACAGUAAAGUUCGAAAGAUAAAUGUCAAAUUUCAAAGGAUAAACACCAAUAUCAAGAAUGGCGAACAUACACGAGAAGAAGAAGGGAAAAAAAG